GACAGAAUGAAUUUUCCUUUUUUGGCCUCCGUGUUCAUUCAUUGAAAAAAAUGGACAUCGUUUUUUAGAUUUUUCUCGUUGAAACUUUCAAGAAGCUCUACUCGUAUUCUAUUUUAAGAAACAAUCACAUUUUCUUAUUUGGACGGAUUGUAUUUUCCUUUUUCGGCCUCCGUAUUCAUUAUUAGAAAAAAUGGAUAUCGUUUUUGAAUGCCUCUUAGUCAAAACUUUCAAGAAGUUCUACUCAUUUGUGCAUUUCGAUAUAGUUGACGUCAGAUCUUGUCAGUGCUUUGGCAGGGCUGGCGUUGAUAUGGAACUCUUGGUGAUUCACAUAUUUUAUGGAAGUGUCAAUUAAUGUAUGAUGUGAGAGUGAAUUAGAAUUCAUAAGUGUAAAAUAAGUCAAAUUGACGUAAAAAUCGUAUUUUCCGCAAUUCAUCUUAAGACUUGCUAUGUGUGGCUGAAGUCAUUUGAAUAAUAAUUGACUAAUAAUAACACUUAAAAUUUGGUAAGCUUAAAA